GACGAACGCUGGCGGCGUGCUUAACACAUGCAAGUCGAACGGAAAGGCCCUGCUUUUGUGGGGUGCUCGAGUGGCGAACGGGUGAGUAACACGUGAGUAACCUGCCCUUGACUUUGGGAUAACUUCAGGAAACUGGGGCUAAUACCGGAUAGGAGCUCCUGCUGCAUGGUGGGGGUUGGAAAGUUUCGGCGGUUGGGGAUGGACUCGCGGCUUAUCAGCUUGUUGGUGGGGUAGUGGCUUACCAAGGCUUUGACGGGUAGCCGGCCUGAGAGGGUGACCGGCCACAUUGGGACUGAGAUGCGGCCCAGACUCGUACGGGAGGCAGCGGUGGGGAAUAUUACACAAUGGGAGGGAGCCUGAUGCAGCAACGCCGCGUGCGGGAUGACGGCCUUCGGGUUGUAAACCGCUUUCGCCUGUGACGAAGCGUGAGUGACGGUAAUGGGUAAAGAAGCACCGGCUAACUACGUG
rnacentral:rRNA from 1 species